GUGCUUGCUUCGGCAGCACAUAAACUAAAACUGGGAUGACAGAGAAGAUUAGCAUGGCCCCUGCACAAGGAUGACACGCAAACUUGUGAAGUGUCCCAUAUUUUU